rnacentral:rRNA from 1 species
CGCGCAGGCGGUUUUUCAAGUCCAUCUUAAAAGCGUGGGGCUCAACCCCAUGAGGGGACGGAAACCGGGAGACUGGAGUAUCGGAGAGGAAAGUGGAAUUCCUAGUGUAGCGGUGAAAUGCGUAGAGAUUAGGAAGAACACCGGUGGCGAAGGCGACUUUCUGGACGAUAACUGACGCUGAGGCGCGAAAGCGUGGGGAGCAAACA